GAGAUAUGCUUUUUGGAGUUGAGCAGAACUAAAAACCAUGGAUGAGAAGACCAGAAAAAAUAAUGACAAUGAAUCAUGUCCUCCAUCUAUGCAGCAAUAUUGACAAAUUCUACUUACCAAGGAAAAUAUAUGGGUGUAGAAUGUUGCAACUUCAUCAAACGGUUGAAGAAGAAAAGGCAAUGGAAGAAUAUCGGAAGGACAGUAAAGAAAAUGUAUUGAAGCUAGUAUGUUGUGAAGACUUAUUGGAAAGACCAAAUUGGCCUUUAAAAAAGGCCAAAUGAAGAAUAGAAAGGCGACAUGACAAGGCAAAAUAUUACAUGUUCAGUAUACAACAAACAUAGCAGGCAAAACAGAUAACAAGAUCUGGCAAUAGCUAAGAACAAGAAAAUUGAAGAAAGAGACCAAGAAUUGAGCCAGAAUUGAGAUUACAGCAACAGAAAACAAAUGCUGCCUCUGCAAAGAAGCUGAAAAACAGUGGACCAUCUAGAUAGCUUUUGCAAGACAAUCGCACAGACUGACUAUAAGCAACAGCAUGACAAAAUAGCAACAAAGAUCUGUUGGAAGAUCUGCAAGAAAGACCAUUUGUCUGCAAGUAAGAUCUAAUGGGACCACAAAAUGUACCAAGUAGUACAAAAUGAAGAAACUAAACUGCUGUAGGACUUCAGUAUUCAAAAACACAAGAGCUGCCACAUAACACUCUAAACUUAACAAUUGUCAAUGAGAAACACAAAAAAGUUUGGAGAGUGGAAUCAGCAGUACCUGGAAUCAGCAAAAUUGAAGAGAAUGGAGAAAAUCACAACAUGCAAAAACCUACAAAUAGAAAGGCUAUGGGAAAAGAAAGCAAAGAUAGUGCUAAUAGUAAUAGUUGCCUUGGGUGCAAUAGUAAAGCAUUUGAACACUAUCAGCAUUGACAAAAUCACUAUCACUCAAUUGAAAACAAUAGAACAGCUUACAUAAUGUGACAAUACAUUUAACAUCACGAAGCAACAUUUCCCUAUCCCAGGUCUUUGGGAAAGACUUAAUAGGUGGAUGGGGAUGGUAGAGGACAGGAAGGCCUGGAGGAAAGUUGUCCAUGGGGUCGCAAUGGGUCGGACACCACUUCGCAACUAACAACAAUAACAAUAGCUAGAAGAUUCAGUAAACUGUGGUUGCCAUAGAGACAUUGCAUCAUCAUCAAGAAUACGGUCAAGUGCCCAGGAAAUGGCCUUUUGGGUAAUGGCCUUCACUACAGGAAACAUUCAAAUCUCAGAGCAAAUAUGUUCUUAAAUACAGAGUGUGGAGUGCCGUCCUUGUGACCUCUUCCAGCCUUUUCUGAUGCAGAUGAUCAGGGGAACAUAGUGAGGAGUUUGUUACUUAAAUUAUUAAUGUAUAUUGAUACAGCAUAUUAAGUAAUUAGAAAAUAAAAGCUUUGCUUAUUUUCAA